GAUGAACGCUAGCUACAGGCUUAACACAUGCAAGUCGAGGGGAAACGGCAUUAAGUGCUUGCACUUUUUGGACGUCGACCGGCGCACGGGUGAGUAACGCGUAUCCAACCUUCCCAUGACUAAGGGAUAACCUGCCGAAAGGCAGACUAAUACCUUAUGGUCUUCACUGACGGCAUCAGAUGUGAAGUAAAGAUUUAUCGGUCAUGGAUGGGGAUGCGUCUGAUUAGCUUGUUGGCGGGGUAACGGCCCACCAAGGCAACGAUCAGUAGGGGUUCUGAGAGGAAGGUCCCCCACAUUGGAACUGAGACACGGUCCAAACUCCUACGGGAGGCAGCAGUGAGGAAUAUUGGUCAAUGGGCGAGAGCCUGAACCAGCCAAGUAGCGUGCAGGAAGACGGCCCUAUGGGUUGUAAACUGCUUUUGUAUGGGGAUAAAGUCAAUCACGUGUGAUUGUUUGCAGGUACCAUACGAAUAAGGACCGGCUAAUUCCGUGCCAGCAGCCGCGGUAAUACGGAAGGUCCGGGCGUUAUCCGGAUUUAUUGGGUUUAAAGGGAGCGUAGGCUGGAGAUUAAGUGUGUUGUGAAAUGUAGACGCUCAACGUCUGACUUGCAGCGCAUACUGGUUUCCUUGAGUACGCACAACGUUGGCGGAAUUCGUCGUGUAGCGGUGAAAUGCUUAGAUAUGACGAAGAACUCCGAUUGCGAAGGCAGCUGACGGGAGCGCAACUGACGCUGAAGCUCGAAGGUGCGGGUAUCGAACAGG
rnacentral:rRNA from 1 species